AUGGUAAGCUAUAUACUCACUCCAUACACUCUAUAUCUCCCUCGUACCCACAAAAACCCUAAGCACACCUCUCAUCUCCUCAGAUCCAGAUCUUGCAUCUUUUUGUUCAUUUUUUGGAGUUUUCUCAAGCUCUCACAUUUCUCUCGUGCCAUUCCUUAUUUUUCACUUGUUUCAUUACCUCUAAAGCUCGCAGGUCAAGACUAA